UACAGAGGUCCCGAGCGUUGUUCGGAUUCACUGGGCGUAAAGGGUGCGUAGGUGGCUUGAAAAGUUUGAUGUGAAAGCUCAGGGCUUAACCCUGAAAUGGCAUUGAAUACUGUCGAGCUGGAGGUUUGGAGGGGGGACUGGAAUUCUUGGUGUAGCAGUGAAAUGCGUAGAUAUCUGGAGGAACACCGGUGGCGAAGGCGGCGUUCUGGACUGCAACUGACACUGAUGAACGAAAGCCAGGGGAGCAAACGGG
rnacentral:rRNA from 1 species